rnacentral:rRNA from 1 species
GUGCACCAGUCGAGAAUCCUUCGCAAUGCGGGAAACCGCGACGAGGGGACUCCCAGUGCCUACGCUCAGCGUAGGCUGUUCCCGAGCCUAGAAAGCUCGGGGAGUAAGGGCUGGGUAAGACGGGUGCCAGCCGCCGCGGUAAUACCCGCAGCCCGAGUGGUGGCCACUAUUAUUGGGCCUAAAGCGUCCGUAGCCGGCCCGGUAAAUGCCUGGGUAAAUCGUGAGGCCUAACCUCACGAAUUCCGGGUAGACUGCCGGGCUAGGGACCGGAGGAGGGAGAGGGUACUCCAGGGGUAGGGGUGAAAUCCUGUAAUCCCUGGAGGACCACCGGUGGCGAAGGCGCUCUCCUAGGACGGGUCCGACGGUGAGGGACGAAAGCCAGGGGAGCGAACCGGAUUAGAUACCCCCGUAGU